UUUAAGAGCGUUUUCCCCAUAGGCGAAAGUGGGCACGCUAGUAAAUUUCCAUGUGCUUUAUAAGACAGAGAGGAGCGGCGGUUUGUAUGGGCUACACGCUUUAUUCCCAUGUUGAGGUGUUGGGUUAGUCUCGAAUACGGCUGUUUUCCUUAUGCUUGUGUGCAGGUGCAGGGUAUUAAGCACGAGGGUGAUUAGACCUUCCUGUCAAUUAGCUGGUGGGGCUGGUGGACGCAGAUUUAGUGACCACUGAAAAUGGUGCUGUGACGUCGUUUUACUUAAAAGCAUCGCGGAGCACUCAGGGGUGCUGGUUAGAUCUCGGGUGUGGUCCCUUUGGCGGAUAUCCUUCGAUUGCACUGCAUGUUCACUGCGUGUGGUGUAGAUAUUUUCUUUUGCUGUGUGUGUGUGUGUGUGUGUGUGUGUGUAUGGUGGUUUAUAUUCUUUUUCUUUUACAGGCACGCUUGCGGGUCAAUUCCACUGGGUUAGUAGUGUGGGUUCAUGCCAGUGACCGGACAGUUUCUCCCGGGUGUCCGCUUGUUUUCUUGUUUUGUUUUUGUAGUUGGUGUUCCCUUUC